GAACCAGCCAUGCCGCGUGCAGGAUGACGGCUCUAUGAGUUGUAAACUGCUUUUGUACGCGGGUAAAUGCAGAUACGUGUAUCUGUUUGAAAGUAGCGUACGAAUAAAGACCGGCUAACUCCGUGCCAGCAGCCGCGGUAAUACGGAGGGUCUAAGCGUUAUCCGGAUUUAUUGGGUUUAAAGGGUGCGUAGGCGGUUUGGUAAGUUAUAGGUGAAAUCCCGGAGCUCAACUCCGGAACUGCCUGUGAUACUGCCAGGCUAGAGAAUAGUUGCUGUGGGCGGAAUGUAUGGUGUAGCGGUGAAAUGCUUAGAUAUCAUACAGAACACCGAUUGCGAAGGCAGCUCACAAAGCUAUAUCUGACGCUGAGGCACGAAAGCGUGGGGAGCAAACAGGAUUAGAUACCCUGGUAGUCCACGCCGUAAACGAUGAUAACUCGUUGUCGGCGAUAUAUUGUCGGUGACUAAGCGAAAGCGAUAAGUUAUCCACCUGGGGAGUACGUUCGCAAGAAUGAAACUCAAAGGAAUUGACGGGGCCCGCACAAGCGGAGGAACAUGUGGUUUAAUCGAUGAUACGCGAGGAACCUUACCCGGGCUUGAAAGUUAGUGACGGAUCUGGAAACAGGUCUUCCCUUCGGGGCACGAAACUAGGUGCUGCAUGGUUGUCGUCAGCUCGUGCCGUGAGGUGUCGGGUUAAGUCCCAUAACGAGCGCAACCCUACCGUUAGUUGCCAUCAGGUUAAGCUGGGCACUCUAGCGGGACUGCCGGUGUAAGCCGAGAGGAAGGUGGGGAUGACGUCAAAUCAGCACGGCCCUUACGUCCGGGGCGACACACGUGUUACAAUGGUCGGUACAGAGGGCAGCUACCCAGUGAUGGGAUGCGAAUCUCGAAAGCCGGUCUCAGUUCGGAUUGGAGGCUGAAACCCGCCUCCAUGAAGUUGGAUUCGCUAGUAAUCGCGCAUCAGCCAUGGCGCGGUGAAUACGUUCCCGGGCCUUGUACACACCGCCCGUCAAGCCAUGGGAGUUGGGGGUGCCUGAAGUACGUGACCGCAAGGAGCGUCCUAGGGCAAAACCGAUGACUGGGGCUAAGUCGAAACAAGGUAGCCGUACCGGAAGGUGCGGCUG
rnacentral:rRNA from 1 species